rnacentral:rRNA from 1 species
GGAAUCUUCCACAAUGGGCGCAAGCCUGAUGGAGCAACACCGCGUGAGUGAAGAAGGGUUUCGGCUCGUAAAGCUCUGUUGUUAGAGAAGAACGUGCGUGAGAGUAACUGUUCACGCAGUGACGGUAUCUAACCAGAAAGUCACGGCUAACUACGUGCCAGCAGCCGCGGUAAUACGUAGGUGGCAAGCGUUAUCCGGAAUCAUUGGGCGUAAAGGGGGCGCAGGCGGGGACGCAGGUCCUUCCUGAAAGUUCGGGGCUCAGCCCCGUGAUGGGAAGGAAACCGUGUCUCUUGAGCGCGGGAGAGGGAAGCGGAAUUCCUGGUGUAGCGGUGAAAUGCGUAGAUAUCAGGAAGAACACCAGUGGCGAAGGCGGCUUCCUGGACCGCGGCUGACGCUGAGGCCCGAAAGCCAGGGGAGCGAACG